rnacentral:tRNA from 167 species
GGGUGAUUAGCUCAGCUGGGAGAGCAGCUGCCUUACAAGCAGCGGGUCGGCGGUUCGAUCCCGUCAUCACCCACCA